GGACCCCAUAGACCCCAUAGACCCCCCCUCCCAUCCCCCAACCUUCGCACAGUUCCCGCUCGGGCACGCAACGCGCAGGCGCAGAACCACGUGCUCGCCGCUCACCAAUCAACGAAGAGGGGAGGGAAACACCACGUGACAGGAAGUGGUUGUACAGCUGACUUCCGCUUCCGGUGCCCUCCGCUACCGGCGGCGGGUUCAUGGCCGACAAGGCCCGAACGGCGUUUCCAUGCCCCCCCCCGGACCAUUACCGGGUUCUCGGGGUCCCACCCGACGCCAGCCAGGAACAGAUCCGGGAUGCGUUCAUCAGGGGCUGCAAGGAGGUGAGACCCCAUAGAGACCCCAUAGCGACCCUAUAGACCCUAUAGAGCCCAUAGCGACCCUAUAGACCCUAUAGAGCCCAUAGCGACCCUAUAGACCCUAUAGAGCCCAUAGCGACCCUAUAGACCCUAUAGACCCCAUAAAGACCCUAUAGACACCAUAGGGACCCCAUAGAGCCCAUAACGACCCCAUAGACCCCAUAGGGACCCCAUAGACCUCAUAGGGACCCUAUAGGCACCAUAGGGACCCUAUAGACCCCAUAGGGACACUAUAGACACCAUAACGACCCUAUAGAGCCCAUAGCGACCCUAUAGAGCCCAUAGGGACCCUAUAGAGCCCAUAGGGACCCUAUAGACACCAUAGGGACCCUAUAGACACCAUAGGGACCCUAUAGAGCCCAUAGCGACCCUAUAGACUCCAUAAAGACCCUAUAGAGCCCAUAG
rnacentral:lncRNA from 1 species